GGUGAAGACUAUAAAGAAAGGUUGAACACUCUGAAAAUUGAUAUUUUAAAUUACACGGAGGUGUUGCUGGAAGAGGAGCUCAUGCGAACUGAGGAACUCAGGUGGACAGAUGCUGUGAAGACAGGCGGGGGGCAAAGUGUGAAAACUAUAGAGAACUAUUGAACACUCUCCAAAUAGAUAUUGUCAACUACAUGGAGGCGUUGCUAUAAGAGGAGCUCAUGAAAACAGAGGAGCUCAGGUGAGCAGAUGCUGUGGAGACAGGCGGGGGGCAUAGGUGUGAAUCUCUGAAUGCAGCACUUCAGCUGGGAGAACCAGCAGCUAAGCUGGGACAGGACUAGGACAGACGUUUACGUGGCAGGCAUGUUUCACAGCAACACUCAUAAAACAGGACAGUAAUCUUAGCACGUUACGACUUCCACUGCCUUCCACUGAGGCAGGCAUGUCUCAUUCCAGGUGAAUCAUUCUGUCAAGUUACUUGAUGUGCCAAUGAGUUUCUUUUUCCCCGUCUCUACAUUGGAGAGUAUCACAUGCCAGCGAGUUGGGAUGUUGAUCAUUAAAAAUGAGGAAAUCCCUCACUGGAGCCUGAUAAUGGAGAUGCUUUUGUCCUUGGGAUGGAUGCAGCCACCUGCCAUGUAGGCUGUGACCACAGCAGCCUGUCCCUUCCACUGAGGCCAAACUUUUGUGCAUGGCUCUGUUUCCAGUCACUGCUUGAUGCACUAUGGGAGUUUUCACAUAGAAAUGUCCACGGCUAAAGUGAGAAGCUGAAAGGACAUCCUUUUGAAACCGAUUUGGGAAGACUGACUUUCGUUUACAGAAGACAAAAAUGAAUGGAACAUCAUACAGGAUCUCACAGGAGCUCUCUCUGAUACAGAGGAAGCCUCCAUGGUUCAAGCAAUUCUCCUGUCUCCGCCUCCCGAGUAGCUGGGACUACAGGGAAUAUAAAGCCCUGACUCAAUCUCAGGCAGAGCAGCUGGCAAAGUUACAAGAAGAAAUAGAUGCCACCAAGUUACGGAAUGAGCGAUUGAAGGCCCACGUCACUCCUGAUGACCCUGGUAAGUCUCAGCGUCAGAACCUCCAAGAGCAGCUGGCUAAGGGGCACAAGCUGACAGAGCAUUAUGUCAGCAGGCUCAGCCCAGGUAAGGUGGGCACAGGCCCUGAUGACACACAGCCCCAGGCUUAUGAAAGUCCCCAGACCACCACACCUCCACAGUGA
rnacentral:lncRNA from 1 species